CCCCUCAGCAACCUGGGAUGGGGGGUGGGAGGGAGAAGGGACCUGCAGUGCCAGGAAAACGGUUUGUUUUCCUGGCACUGGAGAGUCCCUUUAAUAAACUCACAUUUCAAAGAGUUAUAACCAGCUUCACGGAUCUGUGACUUUUGGGGGUCUUUGCACAUUUUGCUGCCGCUCACGGCAAUCUUCUUCUUGGAGGUCUUUUUCGGCUCCUGGCACUUCAUUUGUCAAGAAACGAGUCAGUGGUGACAGUACAACACCGAGGUCUAUGGAUAUCUUGCGAUGAUCAAGACCACACCUGAAACCCACAGCCAUCAAUUUUGAGGGCUCCUGGAACUGGACAGAAAUUGACGGCAGAGCAGGC